rnacentral:lncRNA from 1 species
CAGGUUUCAUUUACUUGGACAAUUAUUCACCAUCUUUUCACUUCAGUCUGUGUAUAUCAUUACAGGUGAGGUCAUUUUACUCUUGUUGUUCCUGUCAUUUUUUUGUGGCUUUUCUUGGGACUAUUUUCAAUAUCCAUAUUUAUUUUUUACCAUCAUUAUUCACCUUGGGAGUUAGAUUUUUGCCAUAUUAAUAAUAUUUGUUUCUUUUCUAUUUCUCAUUUGUGUGUCUAAUAUUUUUUUUUAAUUUGUUCUUUUUAGAUAUACAUGACAGUGAAGUGUAUUUUGACAUAUACACAGGUGGAGUAUAAAGAUUCUGUUCUUGUAAAUGAAUGAGUUGGAGUUAAACUGAAGGAAGAACCAAGAGAUUUCAGCUGUAGUACAGCCCAUUUAACACUCUAGAUAUAGCUGGGUCUGAGUAUUGCCACUGAUACCCUUUUCCUUGGAUUUACACUACUACUGCCACAAGGCUACUGCUUAGCUAUACUUGUUAUCACAACACUGAAAAAUACCUAUAUUCCUUUUGAAAUUCAUAUUUCUUGAUCAUCUAUCAAAAUUCCAGACAAGAAUCUGUGCUUCCUUAGCUGUGGAGUAGUGGUCUUCCAGCCUCAGGUGGAGAAGAUGCAAAAUCUGGAUUCUAAAUGUUUUAUAACUAAGACAGAACUCUGUCUGCCUGAAUUCCCAAAGUAGGGUAUCAAGUAUUCAAAAGUAAAUGGGUGCAUAUAAAAGUUAUAGAUUCAUGUAGACACACAGGUACAACUAAAUAUUGUUUAGCGUUUCUAUCCCGAGUAGGAAUGUUUAAUAUCAUUCACUUUGACUUCAUUACUUUAUGUGUAAUGAAGUCAAAGUGAAAGAUAUAUCAAAUAUAAUUCAUAUAUCAAAUAUAAUUCAUAUUACUUUAAGACAAAUAGAAACUCAGAAAAAUUCAGAGGAUUGGUCUUUUGUAAACUUAUUUGCCCACCAAUCUAUUUUGAAUAAAAGAGGUUUUAGUUAUUAGGUUAUAUAUAUGAAACUUAAGGUAAUGAUUCAUAAACUUGUUCUGGAACAUCUUGUCUGCUUGGUAAUUGCCCUUUCAGUUCAUUAACUACUUUGCAUGCAUGAGUUCUCUCUACUGCUGUAUCAAAAUUAUUAGAAGUAUCAAGCACAUUUAUACUAUUCAAGGCAGUAUAAACUAUCUUUAAUUAAAAUAAAAGAACACUAAGCUGAAAGGAAAUGAUAUAAGAUAGUCAUAUACAUUUUGCUUGGAAUUAUAUUUCCUUCUUCCAUGAUUUAUGUUUUUUUGCCUUCUUUUUUAUUUUUUCCUUUGGUGUUGCUGCUCCUAAUCUUCACUGUUGCCUAUGUUACUGAAUAUUAUUUGAACCCUGUUAUUUUUGUUCCACUGAAUUAAAUUAACCAUGAGUAAUUUUUAGUUUUAUUACUAUUUUUAUUAUGUUUAUAUCGAAAGGAUAUAAAUACCUAAUUAAACAUCAAUUAUUAGCACAAACUAUAUCAAGUAAAUAUCAACAUAUUACUUGAGGGAAGAGCCCAGUACUUAAUUCAGCUGUCAGAGACCAAAGACUCUUUCUGAAAAGCUGUUAAUUUACACAUACAUUGUUUUUUAUCCUUGCUUUUCAAGUGCAGUUUUCUUGAGUCUGUAACAAAUGUUGAAAACAAGAAACAAGAUGAUAACAUAUACUAAAUUUGGGUUAAUGUGUAAAAAUAAGUCUUAAAUCUGG